AUUGAACGCUGGCGGCAUGCUUUACACAUGCAAGUCGAACGGCAGCGCGGGCUUCGGCCUGGCGGCGAGUGGCGAACGGGUGAGUAAUACAUCGGAACGUGCCCAGUAGUGGGGGAUAGCUCGGCGAAAGCCGGAUUAAUACCGCAUACGACCUGAGGGUGAAAGCGGGGGAUCUUCGGACCUCGCGCUAUUGUAGCGGCCGAUGGCAGAUUAGCUAGUUGGUGGGGUAAAGGCCUACCAAGGCGACGAUCUGUAGCUGGUCUGAGAGGACGACCAGCCACACGGGGACUGAGACACGGCCCAGACCCCUACGGGAGGCAGCAGUGGGGAAUUUUGGACAAUGGGCGAAAGCCUGAUCCAGCAAUGCCGCGUGUGUGAUGAAGGCCUUCGGGUUGUAAAGCACUUUUGGCGGGAACGAAAAGGACUGUGCCAAUACCACGGUUCGAUGACGGUACCCGCAGAAUAAGCACCGGCUAACUACGUG
rnacentral:rRNA from 1 species